rfam:Arthrobotrys oligospora ATCC 24927 unplaced genomic scaffold scaffold00006, whole genome shotgun sequence.
GGUUGAAUAGUGUAGUUGGUUAUCACAUCGGAUUUUGAAGGAGUCUCACAGCUUGGCCAGAGCUCCUAGAAACAUUCCGGGGACCCGGGUUCGAAUCCCAGUUCGACCU